rnacentral:rRNA from 1 species
AGCGAACGCUGGCGGCAGGCCUAACACAUGCAAGUCGAACGAACUCUUCGGAGUUAGUGGCGGACGGGUGAGUAACACGUGGGAACGUGCCUUUAGGUUCGGAAUAACUCAGGGAAACUUGUGCUAAUACCGAAUGUGCCCUUCGGGGGAAGGAUUUAUCGCCUUUAGAGCGGCCCGCGUCUGAUUAGCUAGUUGGUGAGGUAAAGGCUCACCAAGGCGACGAUCAGUAGCUGGUCUGAGAGGAUGAUCAGCCACAUUGGGACUGAGACACGGCCCAAACUCCUACGGGAGGCAGCAGUGGGGAAUCUUGCGCAAUGGGCGAAAGCCUGACGCAGCCAUGCCGCGUGAAUGAUGAAGGUCUUAGGAUUGUAAAAUUCUUUCACCGGGGACGAUAAUGACGGUACCCGGAGAAGAAGCCCCGGCUAACUUCGUG